UAAGGAAUCUUCCACAAUGGGCGAAAGCCUGAUGGAGCAACGCCGCGUGCAGGAUGAAGGCCCUCGGGUCGUAAACUGCUUUUAUGAGUGAAGAAUAUGACGGUAACUCAUGAAUAAGCACCGGCUAACUACGUGCCAGCAGCCGCGGUCAUACGUAGGGUGCAAGCAUUAUCCGGAGUGACUGGGCGUAAAGAGUUGCGUAGGCGGUUAGUAAAACGAAUAGUGAAACCUGGUGGCUCAACCAUACAGACUAUUAUUCGAACUCACUAACUCGAGAGUGGUAGAGGUAACUGGAAUUUCUUGUGUAGGAGUGAAAUCCGUAGAUAUAAGAAGGAACACCAAUGGCGUAGGCAGGUUACUGGACCAUUUCUGACGCUAAGGCACGAAAGCGUGGGGAGC
rnacentral:rRNA from 1 species